CCAAUAGCGUAUAUUAAAGUUGUUGCAGUUAAAAAGCUCGUAGUUGAAUUUCGGGAUCAGUACGCUGGUCGUGCCUUCGGUAUGUACUGGUGUUACUGGUUCCUACCUUCUGACGAACCGUCAUGUCAUUAAUUUGGUGUGGCGGGGAAUCAGGACUGUUACUUUGAAAAAAUUAGAGUGUUUAAAGCAGGCUCGCGCUUGAAUACAUUAGCAUGGAAUAAUGAAAUAGGACGUUCGAUCCUAUUUUGUUGGUUUCUAGGAUUGACGUAAUGAUUAAUAGGUAUAGUUGGGGGCAUUAGUAUUCAAUUGUCAGAGGUGAAAUUCUUGGAUUUAUUGAAGACUAACUACUGCGAAAGCAUUUGCCAAGGAUGUUUUCAUUAAUCAAGAACGAAAGUUAGGGGAUCGAAGACGAUCAGAUACCGUCGUAGUCUUAACCAUAAACUAUGCCGACUAGGGAUCGGAUGAUGUUAAUUUUUUAAUGACUCAUUCGGCGCCUUACG
rnacentral:rRNA from 1 species